AGUGAACGUUGGCGGCGUGGAUUAGGCAUGCAAGUCGAGCGAGAACCGUAGCAAUACGGGGACAGCGGCGAAAGGGACAGUAAUGUGUAGGUACCUACCUCCGGGUUCGGGAUAGCUGCGGGAAACUGCAGGUAAUACCGAAUAACGUCUCCGGACCAAAGGUGUGAUUCCACCUGGAGAGGGGCCUGCAUCCGAUUAGCUUGUUGGCGGGGUAACGGCCCACCAAGGCGACGAUGGGUAGCGGGUGUGAGAGCACGACCCGCGUCAUUGGGACUGAGACACUGCCCAGACACCUACGGGUGGCUGCAGUCGUGAAUCUUCGGCAAUGGGCGCAAGCCUGACCGAGCGACGCCGCGUGCGGGAUGAAGGCCUUCGGGUUGUAAACCGCUGUCGUAGAGGAGGAAAUGCAGGGGGGUUCUCCCCUCUGUUUGACCUAUUCUAGGAGGAAGUACGGGCUAAGUUCGUGCCAGCAGCCGCGGUAA
rnacentral:rRNA from 1 species